UACACAUGCAAGUCGAGCGGAGUGAUGGUGCUUGCACUAUCACUUAGCGGCGGACGGGUGAGUAAUGCUUAGGAAUCUGCCAUUUAGUGGGGGACAACAUUCCGAAAGGAAUGCUAAUACCGCAUACGUCCUACGGGAGAAAGCAGGGGAUCUUCGGACCUUGCGCUAAAUGAUGAGCCUAAGUCGGAUUAGCUAGUUGGUGGGGUAAAGGCCUACCAAGGCGACGAUCUGUAGCGGGUCUGAGAGGAUGAUCCGCCACACUGGGACUGAGACACGGCCCAGACUCCUACGGGAGGCAGCAGUGGGGAAUAUUGGACAAUGGGCGGAAGCCUGAUCCAGCCAUGCCGCGUGUGUGAAGAAGGCCUUUUGGUUGUAAAGCACUUUAAGCGAGGAGGAGGCUACCUGGAUUAAUACUCUAGGAUAGUGGACGUUACUCGCAGAAUAAGCACCGGCUAACUCUGUGCCAGCAGCCGCGGUAAUACAGAGGGUGCGAGCGUUAAUCGGAUUUACUGGGCGUAAAGCGUGCGUAGGCGGCUUUUUAAGUCGGAUGUGAAAUCCCCGAGCUUAACUUGGGAAUUGCAUUCGAUACUGGGAAGCUAGAGUAUGGGAGAGGAUGGUAGAAUUCCAGGUGUAGCGGUGAAAUGCGUAGAGAUCUGGAGGAAUACCGAUGGCGAAGGCAGCCAUCUGGCCUAAUACUGACGCUGAGGUACGAAAGCAUGGGGAGCAAACAGGAUUAGAUACCCUGGUAGUCCAUGCCGUAAACGAUGUCUACUAGCCGUUGGGGCCUUUGAGGCUUUAGUGGCGCAGCUAACGCGAUAAGUAGACCGCCUGGGGAGUACGGUCGCAAGACUAAAACUCAAAUGAAUUGACGGGGCCCGCACAAGCGGUGGAGCAUGUGGUUUAAUUCGAUGCAACGCG
rnacentral:rRNA from 1 species